rnacentral:lncRNA from 1 species
AAAAAGCAAAAUGAAGACCAGCCUGAGAUGGUUCCAUCCUUGAGGUGCAAUCCUGAAAUUUCUUUCCUACAUCCUGAAAUCAAAUUGGUCAAGAUGGUUCCAUUUAUGCAAAUAAAAGAAGAUUAAAACUAUUCUUUAACUUCUAAAGCCAGUGACUAAAACUAGUGGUGGUUCUGCCUGAAAUCUCAGAGGUAGAACGAAAGUUAACCGUAGACUAGAAAAAGGAUACUAUGCACAGAACACUAUCAGGAAUGGAGCUCAAAUUUAAUAAAACAGUAUUGAAACAAGAAUAUAUAUAAAUGCAGCUUGAUCAUGAAACCAGUACCCCUUAGAAUAAUCAUAUGUCUCUACAUACUCAAAAGAAUGUCAAGAGAAGAUCAAGAAACACAAGAAUGGACAAAUAUAUUAAAGUUAUUGGUAUUCUGGUGCAUAAGCCGCUACAUCAUAUAGUCAAAUUUAAAUAGAAUCGAUGAACAUAGCAAAAGAAAUAGCCUAGCCAAAAAAAUGCAACAAUAAUACAGCACGUGGUUUCAUAAGAGUCAUUUUCAGACUCCACAUCAUUAAGUCUCUGUGCAUAUCAGAAUCAGAUCAAAAUGCAAAUAGUUUGACUUAGGCAAGUUAACCUGAACAUAUUUUGUCAAGCUUUGAUUAAUACAUAUACAUAAAGUACAGAAUGAGUGAAGUUACCCAUAUUCACUAUCUGAACUAAAAUAAACUUUUAGUUAGAAAGAACAACACUCUGUCACAUAGAAAAACAGUAAGCAUAAUUGAAUUAAGUUACAUCUGUAAUUCAUGUACUACAAGAUUGGAUCCUACAAACAAGCAUGUCUCCCUAUUUAAUAAUUUCUAGGAUUUGAAUGCCACCAAGAUGAAAACUAAGCUUAGAGUCAAGUUCUGGUAGGCUCUGAAAAUGUGUUCAUCUCAAGUUAGUUUCUAGAAAGUGGAUUCAAAUUUUGGGUAUCUAGGAAUAACAAAUACUGAUAUUGUCAGCUUUUAGUAACCUUCUGAGGUUAAGGUCCAACAUGACUAGAUAUGGUCAACUAUCACCAACCAAAAUAAUCCUAGGAAGUGACACAANNN